CUGAUACAUUCAGCAGUGCAUCACACGCUUACACUUUAUAAUUAUAAUUCUUCGCCUCCUCUCAAGUCAUAUUAUUGUUGUUGGGUUUUGACCUUAGGACUGCAAAUGAUCUGAACUUUGCUCUUUUGAAGCUUUUGAUUCGUUUUCAGUGUUGGCUUAGAAGUUAGAACUGCAUUAGAGUUGAGCAUGGGCUUGUUAAAACCUGCAAAACCCUCAACAGGAACCCAUCAUUGUAAUUUUGCAAUGAUUGGUCUACAACUCCUUAUAUCUUUUUAUCAUGAAUUUGCUAUUCGUUUUU
rnacentral:misc_RNA from 1 species